UCCGUAGGCGGAUAGAUAAGUCAGAGGUGAAAUCCUGCAGCUCAACUGUAGAAUUGCCUUUGAAACUGUUUAUCUUGAGUUAUUGUGAAGUGGUUAGAAUAUGUAGUGUAGCGGUGAAAUGCUUAGAGAUUACAUGGAAUACCGAUUGCGAAGGCAGAUCACUAACAAUAUACUGACGCUGAUGGACGAAAGCGUGGGGAGCGAACAGGAUUAGAUACCCUGGUAGUCC
rnacentral:rRNA from 1 species